GAUGGUCUACAGUCAUGCCACCCUGAUCUCUUGUCUGAUCUCAGAAGCUAAGCAGGGUCUGGUCUGGUUGGUACUUGGAUGUAGAAAUAGGAUGCUAUGAGUCAGGGCAUGCCAUCU
rnacentral:rRNA from 1 species